GCGUUUCGAGUAAUGUAAAUAAAAUAGCCUACAUUAAGGCGAAUGAACCAAAUAAAUUCAAAAACGGUAAGUGAUGGAAAUUUCCAUAUAGGAAAAUUCCCUGAUGCGUAGAUUAAAAAAACCAGUGGAAAAUUACUCUCUACGACUGAUUUUAAAAGAACACAAAGGCACUAUAGAAAAAGGUAGUUACUGCGAGUUAAUAAAUAGCUCGAUCCAACUCGUCGCGCGAUCAAUUUAUCUUUUCUGGUGGAGUGUUAAAGACAACCGAGUUUUUUGAAAAAAAGUUGGAAAAAUAAUUAAAGUUGGUGCAUAAAGUGCUAAAUUCGAAUAAAUUUAGUGAGUUGGUUAGCAAAAACGUUGAGAAAGCCUGAAAUUUGUGAAAGUUAAGGAUUAGAAUCAGGCCUUGCCCAUCUAACGUGGGCGGUUUAUCUAGGGCUUAUCCUAGCUGGAUUUUUCCCGAGUGCAGCCGAGACCGGAACCACCUGUGGUGCUGCGAGCUUCCGUUUGAUAGUCGACCACUUCGCGCUCGAGUGUGGUGAAUACGGUGAGCCGAGAAACCCGAACUCGUCGCGCCAAGACGUGUGGUACCGAGCUUCGCAGAACCUGCUCGA